UACAGAGGUGGCAAGCGUUGUUCGGAAUUACUGGGCGUAAAGCGUGCGCAGGCGGUUUUGUAAGCCAGAUGUGAAAUCCCCGGGCUUAACCUGGGAAUGGCAUUUGGGACUGCAAGGCUUGAGUGCGGCAGAGGAGACUGGAAUUCCUGGUGUAGCAGUGAAAUGCGUAGAUAUCAGGAGGAACACCGAUGGCGAAGGCAGGUCUCUGGGCUGACACUGACGCUCAUGCACGAAAGCGUGGGGAGCAAACAGG
rnacentral:rRNA from 1 species